UUCAUACAGCAGUGUCGCAGUCUUGUUUACCAGCCGAGAGACUCCCAAAAGCUCAGAGCAGCAGCAGAGACCACACUCUACAUGGACCAUGAGAGGCAACAAGAGAAAGCCAAGGAUGACUGUGAGAAGUCUCUUUGAUAUGCUCCUCCAGAGUUACACAUACUACUCCAGUCCCAGAUGGGUGGACUUUUCUUCCUCAGAGAAGAAGCACGUUGUGGCAGAUGAUGAAGGUUUGGUCGAGUCUUCAGACGACCUGUGAGUCUAAUCUGUUAACCUCAUUUACAUUGUUUCACACACAGUCUCAAAUAUUCAGAUGAAUCUGUGGACAUGACUAAAACUUUUUCAGCACAGUCACAUUCAUGUUUUCUGUCACUUGUAUCUGGACUGACAGACACUAAAGUCAGUUCAGUCAGGAGAGACUCCAUUUAAGAGAGAAAUACAUUUAUUGACAUGGUGC